CCUACGGGAGGCAGCAGUGAGGAAUAUUGGUCAAUGGGCGUAAGCCUGAACCAGCCAAGUCGCGUGAGGGAUGAAGGUUCUAUGGAUCGUAAACCUCUUUUAUAAGGGAAUAAAGUGUGGGACGUGUCCUAUUUUGUAUGUACCUUAUGAAUAAGGAUCGGCUAACUCCGUGCCAGCAGCCGCGGUAAUACGGAGGAUCCGAGCGUUAUCCGGAUUUAUUGGGUUUAAAGGGUGCGUAGGCGGCUUUUUAAGUCGGCGGUGAAAGUUUGUGGCUCAACCGUAAAAUUGCCGUUGAAACUGGGGGGCUUGAGUAUAGUUGAGGCAGGCGGAAUGCGUGGUGUAGCGGUGAAAUGCUUAGAUAUCACGCAGAACCCCGAUUGCGAAGGCAGCCUGCCAAGCCGUGACUGACGCUGAUGCACGAAAGCGUGGGGAUCAAACAGGAUUAGAUACCCCUGUAGUC
rnacentral:rRNA from 1 species